rnacentral:lncRNA from 1 species
GCUUCCUGGAUAUGAGGUGAACCUCCCCGGCCAACCACUGCCAGCCACUGCCAUCUGGCACCAAUGCCAGAGGCCUAAAGCAACAGCUCAGUCAGUCAUGGACCAGAACCUCUGAAACUAUGAGACAAAAUAAACCUUUUCUCUUACAAGUCAGUUAUCUCAGGAUGCUCCGGCCCGCCGUGAUUCCCUCCCCAACCCCAGCCUGCUCCUCCAGCUCCUCUUGGCCUGCGACGUUCUGUCUUGUGGAUGUCCAAAAACCCCAUCCAGUGUUCACAGGAAGCCUCCUUUCCUGCUUGUCCCCA